rnacentral:rRNA from 1 species
UACGUAGGGUGCAAGCGUUACUCGGAAUUACUGGGCGUAAAGCGUGCGCAGGCGGUUGUGUAAGGCAGAUGUGAAAUCCCCGGGCUCAACCUGGGAACUGCAUUUGUGACUGCACGGCUGGAGUGCGGCAGAGGGGGAUGGAAUUCCGCGUGUAGCAGUGAAAUGCGUAGAUAUGCGGAGGAACACCGAUGGCGAAGGCAAUCCCCUGGGCCUGCACUGACGCUCAUGCACGAAAGCGUGGGGAGCAAACAGG